rnacentral:misc_RNA from 1 species
CCGGGAUAUUGAUUUUUUUGUGGUAAAAAAGCAAAAAGAUUAUUCCUUUGACCCUUUUUUGUUUAUUCAAAAAAAUGUUAUUUCUUCGGUGAGACGUCUUUUUUGAUCAAAUCAAAAAAAGCUAUUGAUAUUUUGUUUUACUCAAACAAAUAUGAAUAUGUUGCUUACCGAAGUAUAAACUCUUUUUUCUGUUAGUCUGAGUAUACAAACAAAUAAAUUA